rnacentral:rRNA from 1 species
UGAGUAAUGUCUGGGAAACUGCCUGAUGGAGGGGGAUAACUACUGGAAACGGUGGCUAAUACCGCAUAACGUCGCAAGACCAAAGAGGGGGACCUUCGGGCCUCUUGCCAUCAGAUGUGCCCAGAUGGGAUUAGCUUGUUGGUGAGGUAACGGCUCACCAAGGCGACGAUCCCUAGCUGGUCUGAGAGGAUGACCAGCCACACUGGAACUGAGACACGGUCCAGACUCCUACGGGAGGCAGCAGUGGGGAAUAUUGCACAAUGGGCGCAAGCCUGAUGCAGCCAUGCCGCGUGUAUGAAGAAGGCCUUCGGGUUGUAAAGUACUUUCAGCGGGGAGGAAGGUGUUGUGGUUAAUAACCGCAGCAAUUGACGUUACCCGCAGAAGAAGCACCGGCUAACUCCGUGCCAGCAGCCGCGGUAAUACGGAGGGUGCAAGCGUUAAUCGGAAUUACUGGGCGUAAAGCGCACGCAGGCGGUCUGUCAAGUCGGAUGUGAAAUCCCCGGGCUCAACCUGGGAACUGCAUUCGAAACUGGCAGGCUUGAGUCUUGUAG